rnacentral:rRNA from 1 species
UACGUAGGGUGCAAGCGUUGUCCGGAAUUACUGGGCGUAAAGAGUGUGUAGGCGGUGCUCUAAGUUCGGUGUGAAAUCUCCCGGCUCAACUGGGAGGGUGCGCCGAAUACUGAAUGACUCGAGUGUGGGAGAGGUGAGUGGAAUUCCUGGUGUAGCGGUGAAAUGCGUAGAUAUCAGGAGGAACACCGGUGGUGUAGACGGCUCACUGGACCAUAACUGACGCUGAGACACGAAAGCGUGGGUAGCAAACAGG